CCCGCUGAACUUAAGCAUAUCAAUAAGCGGAGGAAAAGAAACUAACAAGGAUUCCCCUAGUAACUGCGAGUGAAGCGGGAAGAGCUCAAAUUUAAAAUCUGGCGUGCCUCCGGUCGUCCGAGUUGUAGUCUAGAGAAGCGUUUUCCGUGUUGGACCGUGUAUAAGUCUCUUGGAACAGGGCGUCAUAGAGGGUGAGAAUCCCGUCUUUGACACGGACUACCAAUGCUUUGUGAUGCGCUCUCAAAGAGUCGAGUUGUUUGGGAAUGCAGCUCAAAAUGGGUGGUAAAUUCCAUCUAAAGCUAUAUAUAGGUGAGAGACCGAUAGCGAACAAGUACCGUGAGGGAAAGAUGAAAAGCACUUUGGAAAGAGAGUUAAACAGUACGUGAAAUUGCUGAAAGGGAAACGCUUGAAGUCAGUCACGUCUGCCAGGACUCAGCCUUGCUUCUGCUUGGUGUACUUUCUGGUUGGAUGGGCCAACAUCAAUUUCGACCGUUGGAGAAAGGCUUUGGGAAUGUGGCACCUUCGGGUGUGUUAUAGCCCUUUGUUGUAUACAACGGUUGGGAUUGAGGACUGCAGCAUGCCUUCAUGGCCGGGGUUCGCUCCGACGUACAUGCUUAGGAUGUUGGCAUAAUGGCUUUAAGCGACGCCGUCUUGAAACACGG
rnacentral:rRNA from 1 species